UGCACGCCUCUUCGGGGCACCUCCCUCUUUCCACAAUUUCUUAUUGUUAUAGCCCAAGCCCAACUAUCUAAGACCCAAGCCCAUUUAAAAAAAAAAUAGAGGAAAAAAUCGGGAAAAAGACUCCCGAUAGGAGUCUUCUUCUCCGAUGAGACCCGGACAAAUUGGGAGUCCUAGGACCUCUCGAAGUCCUAGGGCCCUCUAUAAGAAGACCUCCCUUUUCCCUAGAAGCCGAUCAUCGGCCCUCUUUCUCUCUCUCUUUCUCCCUAUUUUUCGAUUUGGAGCCGCGGACACUCCUCUUGUUCUCGCCGUGAUUGGUCGCCGGUGGGGUCACCGGAGGCCGAGGUGAGUUCCCCUUCUCUUCCUCUCUUCCUUCCCCUUCCUCCCGUGCUCUUGUGCGUGGCUGCCGGCGACGGGAGUCGCCGAUUCUUGAUCGGAAAAGAGACCCCUGUUUUGGCCUCUUUUUCUUG
rnacentral:lncRNA from 1 species